rnacentral:sRNA from 1 species
UGAGUACUUUUGGGUCUGAGUUCCAUCUUGAAGACCCAGCUAUACCAACAAAUAAAGUUUAAGUUUCAAUUGUUUUCUUUGUAUCAAGAUGUAGACAGUGAGCUGUAUAAAAGUACCAGAUAGGAUCAUCCUAACAUUAAUCUUAACAAAAGAAUUAAGAGUUAAGGAGAAUUCAUGACCAUGGACUGAGUAAUAUAUUUGUAUAGUGUAUGAUUUGAAUUGGUUUAAAAGUCUCAGGGAAAAAUGAGACUCGUAGCAUAUUAAAAUUAUAAAGAUGUUAUUAUUUAGAAUAAAAGAAAUCAUCCCAUACCUCUAUCUUAUUGCCCAAAAUAAAGAUAUUAGCAUUCAGAAAUUUAAAAUAAAAAAUAACUUUAAUUAGCAGGGAUACUAAAAUAAAUUGCCAUGAAAUAAAGACAAUACUAUGUUAUCUGAAGUUAGUAUUCUAAAUGUGAAACAAUUUCCUUUUGAUAAAUUAAUUCAGUGUUUAUUUACCUGUAGCAGUGUAUCUCCUGGAGUUGAAUGAUUAAAAUGUAUGCAAUUAAUUAUUGCUUUUAUAUUCCCAACAAUUUCUUCAGUCACUAUACUAGAACAAAAACAUGUCAUCUUGCAUUUUCAAGGUCUCUAUUUUAUGAACCAAUGAAAGUGACCUGGCUCCUGGAUGGACAUCUGGAAUGAGGAACCAAUAACUCAACCAAAACAUAGGAAGUUUAUGACAUUUAGUUUGAGUUUUCUGAUACUUGUGGCACAAGUCAUGCUGGUUUAUUAAUAUAGAAUACACUAAAUUCCAAUCUUCUGUUGGGAGAAGCAAGCACUGUUGAUGAUCUGGCAAGAACAGAAGUUUCGAGAAUACAUCAAAACGUUCUUUGUCACUAUUUCAGCUCAGCCAAAUUUUGAGUAUUUCUCCAUUACCUCACUCAGUUCUCUUUCUGUUUUAAACCUGAGAAACUUUUCAUCAUCUUGAGAUAAAAACUAGGAACACAAAUCCGUCUUAACCUUAUCUAAAAUGGAACAUAUUCAAGAAAGCAAAUCAGUUUCAAAAAUAUACCAAAAAUUCAUGCCAAAUCCAACUUAAGAUAUUUUUGAAUUAUAUACUGUUUACAAGUAUAUAGGCCAUCAAUCCGGGAAUGUAUGUAAUUAUAAACUGACUCAUCAAAAUGUUCCAGCUCCACUUAUUUAGGACUGGAAUUCGUUUACUAAAUAUUCACAAACUGUUAUUCGGAGCUUAUAUUUUGGCAGGCACCAAGCUGGUGAGUACAUAUGGAUUAAUAAAAGCAAAAUGAAGACUGCUCUACAGCUGAGGUCUUCAAUUUGUGCUGCAUCUUUUGCGACCUUAUUUCAAAAACUAUCAAGAAAAGUCAAUAACAGAUGAAAAAAACUAAUGUAUUGGGAAGAAAAUGUACCAGGAGCCCUUGGUCCUCAGCAUCAUGCACGGAGUUUGAGUAGAGCCAGUCUUUGUACAUGGACAUCUUCUUAAGAGCAUAUGUGCCAGAACCACGCUAGCAAUGACACAAGGGCUCAGGAGUCUUGACUACAUCUAAAGAAUUUAUUAUUAGUGUACAAUAGUUAAGAGUACAGAAGCCUAGAGUAAGAAGGUUUGGAUCCCACUAAUAAAAGUAUCCUGUGCUAGAUGUCAAUCUAAGAAAAAAUACGAUGUGCAAUUUAUACCUCAGGCCCUUAUUUUGCAAAAUUCAUAUUGUAGCAUAUUUUUUCAGAAUGGUAUGUGGAUGAUUUGUUCCAAUGCCUAUAAAAUGUUUAGAAUCAAUAUGAGCUUAAUAAAUAAUUGUUACUAUAAAGCAACUAUAUUAUAUAUUAAUAUUUAACUUAGUUAACAUUUACUAAAAAUAAUAGUAUUUAAUCCAGUCCAUUUUCUAAAAUACAAAUGCGAAGCCAAAGGACACCUUUUAUCUCUUAGGUCUCAAGCAAUGUUGAUAGAGCAAGGAUUUCUGAUUAAGUAACUCCAAGAGAACUGCAACAAACGCUUUCAGAAAAAAAAGUGUACAGAGCUGUUGAGAUUCUACAAUUCAUGGGUUGUGACAAGAGUUUCCAAUUAGUAAACUCUAGAGUUUGAUGUAGAAAGUAAUGAGAAAUGAGCUUGCAGAAUGAGAAGUCAGCCAUGCCACUCACUGUAACAUGCUGAAUUCUAAUGCAUUAGCCAUCGUAAAGAACAAACCUGUAUGAAAUGCUUCCUAUAUAUUAGGCAGUUUUCAAACCACUUUGAAUACAUGUUUUUCAUUUCUCAAAUAACUCUCUAAGAUAGACAUUUUCAAGGAAGGAUACCACAGUCCAGAGAUGUCACAUCACAGCAGAAGCCAGAAUCUAUCUCUUGUCAAUACUCUAAAACAAAUUUAGGGGAGCUUACAUACUGUGUUGUAAAUGCUCUUAGAACAGGAAUAGUGGGGUUAUAUUUAUUUAGUAAUUUUUCAGGGAGUGAACAUGUCAGUAACAUUUUUGGAACAUAGUUAGGCAGUGAAGAUAUCUAGCUAAAGGAGAAAGAUACAGAUACUGCAACUUCAGAGGCUCCUGGAUUUUGAGGGGAAAGGAUUUAGGCCUUCAAACACAGUAACAAUGGUGAAAUAGAAGACGGGUGAUCCAGGAACUAAAUAAGUGACAAAACCACCAAUAUUUAUGAUCACAUGUGAAAAAGAAGAGUGUUGCUUUAUUUUCUCAUUUCUGAUGACUGGUACUAUUUGUUAAAAUAGGAACUGGAAUAAAAAGUUACUAGAAGUAGAAGGUAAAGCCGAUAUUUGCAAUAUAUUUGACAUACCUACCUGGAAAGCAUCUCUCUAACGUGGUCCUAGAGUCAGAACUUACUGUAUAGAAACUUACAGAAUAUAGCACUGUUUAAUAAAAUGAUUAAAGACAAAAAUAACAUAGAGACAUAGCACUAUCUAAGUUUGAGGACAGGCCCGAGAUUCCACCAAAUAAACCAAGUCUGUAAUCAGAGCUGUAUUACUGUGUUGAGCUCGCCUCUGACAGAUGCUGCUGAGAGUUUCAGGAAAAUGAAGCCUGGAAGGUUCCCAUUGCUUUUGGCAAACAUGGAGGUCACCUUCAUUCUGGAUCACUUCAGUGUAGACAUUACAAGUACCCAGAUGUCCCCCAGAAUAAUUGCUAGAAUUAGGAAAUAUUCAAAGAGUGGAUAUACUCUACUCCUUCAAGAAACAUGCUGGGUGGCAAAAAUGAAAUGAACCCUAAGGGAUGGGUGCUUUGUUGAGCUGUGUUUGGGCUCUGUGGUAGAAUAGACUGAAACUUUAAAUUCUUUAUUUGUGCCAGAUAAGCAUGUUAUUUUACCUACACAAUAUUUUCUAGCAAGUCAAAAACCUUUGACUGAUUUAUUGAAUAAAAUAAUUACUUGUUUUCUGCAUCAUGAUAAAGCUGGGGCUAUCGUUUAAGCAACCUUAAGUAUGAGAUCACAUUUUCCAAGAAUAUAGGGAUGGAGGACUAAUGGAGUUUAUGUAAAACAUUCCAUUUAGUGCGGUACAGGAAUAAAUAAAUAUACUGCUUUUAGAGCACCUCAGAAGGGAAUGGUACUGAGUACCAAUCUUAGAAACUGAAGAGUUCAUUGAGUGCCAUUCCCAAACUCACUGUCCUCAUUUGCUUGGAGUUGAUGUUUUUCUGCCUCUCUGUUUCCUCCUACACCUUUGAGUUGGAUUAGUAAUCUUUUUACCAUGUGACAAAAUACAUGAGAUAAACACUUAUUUUGGAUCAUACUUUUAGAUGUUUCAGGCUGUCGUUGAGUGGUUCUAUCACUGGAGGCUCCAUCACUGUAGACUUGGCUAUAUCCUCAUGGGGUGUGUGUGUGUGUGUGUGUGUGUGUGUGUGUGUGUAUGAAGCACUUACUAUCUGACACCAUUAAAGCAAAGGGAGAUAAAUGUGAAUGUCUGUAUAUGAGACCAUUCAAAAGGAUUCUCCUAAUAUUUUCUGCAAAUAGGCUUCACCGUCUGCUGGCCAAUUCACCCAUGUACUUAUCAGUGGGGUAGGAAGUUAGCACCAUCAAAAUCUUAUCAUUGAAAGCCUUCAACAGAAACACUGGCUGAGAACACAGACCUCACACACAACCAUGUCUGCAGAAUGAGUUAGAACCAAAACAAAAGGAGAUUGAUGAUUAGGAAGAAAUCUUGUAAUAUGAGAGCAAAUCCUUUGUAAAAUUGUUUAAUGUGGUUGAAGUGGAAAAGUGAUACUUAGAGAGUGAAGAUGGAGACUUGGAGAUUGUCUCCAACUUUUGAGUAAGAGUUCAGGAGACACAGUAUGCAAAACAGAAAGAAUAGAAGCAAAGGAAGGUGUCUGAGUUACUUCAUUGUGCCUGUGAAGGGUCACCAUGAACAAGGCAAGUUAUCAAUUGAGCUUAGUUGCGGGCUUCCUUACAGUUUCAGUGAAACCAUGACCAUUAUGAUUGGAGGCAUGACAACAGGUAGGCAGGCAUGGCACUAAGAUGGGACAAGAUCCACCAGCAUGAAGCAGAGAAAUAGAGAGCUAUUAUAAUGGUAUGAACUCUUUUCAAUGGUCAAAGCCCACUCCUAGUGACUCACCUCCUCCUAAGGACAUACCUCUUAGUACUCCCACACAUCUAAGACAUUGUGGGCCAAACAUUUAAGUAUAUGAGCUUAUUAGGAAGCACUAUUGUUUGAGCAAUAUAUAAACAAAAGAUAGUCUUUUUUCAUAUUUGUUUCUCCAGGAAUGGGGGGCACUUGAGCAUGAUGAAGAAAGAAGAUUUUAUUGGCAUAUGUAUUGAGAGGAAACAAUGUGGAGCAAGGCCGAUUGGCUGAUGUCAGGACUGGAAAUGAACUUCAAGUCUUUACCAGCUACUACUGGUCCAUUUCUGAACAUAAUCUAAGGUCUGCUUCAUAAUGACUUGUCACCAUCCUGAAGUAUAAUAAUCUCAUUGUCCAAAAGAAAUAAAAUAAUAGUCUGAUACAAGUGUCCAUGUGUGUGUUGUAUCACACUGAAGGGCUCUCCCAUCUUCUGAACUUGGUCUUCAUCGGGGACUCUUAAGGUCUGUAACCACAGCGGUGACCCGCGCCAGCUUCCUCACUUGGUUUCUCCCAUCUCCUCUGACCCUACCCUCUCUUAUUUUCAAGGUCAGGACGAAGAAGAGAGAACAAGAAUACAGGUGUGAAGCUUUUUUCUCCGGCUCCUCUAAGUUGCACACAUAUCCUUCCCGAGUCAGGCAUUUAGAGUUUGUGUUAUGGGCUAUAUUUAUGUGUUCUUCAAAGAUAAUCAGCCAUCCUCACGCCCUUCCAUACAGCCAGACUUUGUAUGCCACAUCCUUUCCUUACAGGAGCAACCGACUCUCAAUCUCUCCCAAUCUGAUCACUUAAUCAUUCCACUAUCAGCGUCUGCCCACUGCAGUCCUUGGUGCCCCAGCAGGCAGCUGUCUUAAGCAGCACCAUUCAUAUGAUGCCUCUAAUCUCUUGAAUCCUUGACCAUUCUUAUGUUAGAAAUAUCUCUGCAUCUAUUUUUUAAUCCAAUUAUCAGGGGGCUGUGUCAUCCAGAUUCCCAUUCUCAGAAUUCUUCUAGCAAGAGCUAGGCGUAAACUCCUGUCUCUAUGACUAUGUCCAGUAAUUUGGGGGAAAGAUUUCAUAUUAAUUUGGGGGAAAGAAUUCAUAAUAAUUUGUAGAUAUCAGCAUUAGGCAACUAUAACAAGAAUUUAAUGGGGAGUUUGAGAGUGGUCCUGGUAACACCUGUCUUUCCCUCUUAAGAUGACACUUCCCAUGUGUAUUAAGAUUCUUUGGGGGAAGCCUUUCCAAUAAUCCCUUUUCAAAUGUUUAGUCUCCCCUAUAUGCGGCUGGCAGGGAAGAGCUGAUAAGUGGCUUUACCAGUAAUUUUCCAUGGCCAUCAGCUUCGAAGCCUUAGCUACAUUCCAGGAAACAAGUCCCACUUCACAUCUAAUUAUGCUCAUUUAAGGCUCGCAUUAAUUCUGUGAGGGAAGCGUUCUCAUCAUUUCAGUUAAACAUCAGGAAAACUGAAACAAAAAGGCGUCUCAUAACUCUCCCAAGGUCAGGCAGAUUGCCCAAGGUUACUUAAUAUGAAGUAGCUGCCUGACUGCAAGCUCUUAUCUCCUCUGCUAAACUGCCCAAGUAGAAUUGGGCAGAUUCUGGAGGAUUAAUGAACCAAUCCCCUAGGUAGGUGCCCCAAAUGGCUAAGUAGACAAAGUAACCGAAUGUGCCCCUGCUCUGCUUUCAUUUCACUUUCCAGACCUUCGAAUGCUCUGAUAGAAACACAUUCUUCUGUUCCCCUUCUUCCUGUCUUAGAAUGAUUUAAACACUUUACGAUUAAUUAGCAAUUUCAGUAUGAAACCAAUUGCAUUUUAUAAGGUUAUGCUAUCCCUCAUUCAGCUGUCCCAAAAUUGCGUGGUUUUGUAGUACGGACGUAAACUAUAAAAACGGUACAGUAGGACUUUACUAAGAAGUGAGGGAAAUACAUUAUUGCAAGAAGGAAAGAACUGAAAGAUCCUAAAGCACUGCUUUUAUGCUUUCUGAAUUUUGUAGAUAUUCUAUUUGUACUUAUAAUUGUAUCACGUCAUUAGUUUAUAUGAGUAUCUCGUAAAUCAAAACCUUGUUUGACCCCUUCACAUUAGACAUUGUUGGUUUUGCUGCUGUGUUCGAUAUAAAUCUGCCGUGUAGUGCGUGCUAUUCAAUGGCACACAAAUUAAAAAUAGUGCAUCAUUAAAAUAUAUCUGCUUGUGAACUGUAAAUAUGGGGAUUUGGCGGGAAAGAACUGUCUUCUCUCAGGUGCUUCAUUCCAGCAAGAUGUCACAGAGCUUAUCUUUAUUGCUACUUGAGUUGCAUAUUUAUUUCAUCUCACCUAACUGGCAGCAUCGGCUGUUUCCUUCUGCUGGUUCCAAUUAUUAUGAUUAUUUCCAGCCCGAGCGAAGUCUGGCAAAGCAAACAGGGAAGAGGAAAGAGAAUAGGCUCAUUUCCUUAAGCUCACACGCAAGCCUAUCAGCCUUUAACUGCACACACCAUUCGUCAGGAUUUGGAGUGAGAAACUUACUACUGAAUUUGCUUUUAUUGGGCACUGCAGACAAAAACUCAAAUGUACACAAGACACAGGUUAGCACUUUGGCAUAAUUUGGAGGUAGCAAACCUUACCGCUGGCCCUUAGAGACUGAGACACUGUCUCCCAUUGCAGAUGCUGAAGGACGUCCUUUAGCAGCCAUUCUGGAAGUUGAUCGUGCAUAUUCUGUGUGAAAAAUGAGAGAUUAUAUGUAUGCAAGUAUGUAUGUUACUUUAGAGAGAAGAGGCAACAUGUACAGCUCUAUCAUGAAAAUAAUUUGGGUAAUUUAGUAUUUUCUCAUUUUUAGUACCCACCAUGGUUGGGGAUAUGAGAUUAAUUAUGCACACAAUGAUCAUGUAAAUAACAUUGGAGUUGGGGCUAAGGUAACCUAUGUAGGUUCAUUUCUGUCAAUAGUUUUGUGUGUUGGUAUGACAAAAGGCAGUUUUCCUCUGUUCCCAGGGGCGCAAGGUUUUUGAGAAGAACUCCAAAGGAUUUAGGACAUUUGAAUAAAUUGGCUUUGAAUCUUUUAUAUAGAUUCAAGGAUUUCAGAGAAAGAGCAAUCAAGGGAAUAAAGGCAUUAACUUCGACGCCGAGUGAAGCUGCCCCUGCCAUUCCUUGCCCAGGAAGCCCUAAUUGCCGCAGCUAACUAAGAAGUCUACAAAGACUGGUUCUCUAACUCUAAAGCAGACAAAGGGUUUAACGCAGAAGAAUGUGUCGAAGCAGACGCUGAAGCUGUGGAAUUUUACCAACUGAAUCUGAAAGUCUCCAAUUUGGUACACAAGCACAUUUGAUGGAGGAAACUGACAUACUGAGACCAGCCAUGCCAACCGCUAAGCAGGUGUUUCUCUUUCUUGGUGCCUUGUUGCUUAUGCACUUGGAAGUAAACAGCAGCAUCAUGGUACAUGGGCCCAGCAUCCUUGAAAUGAACAUGCAUGUAAGAUAUUGCUGGAUGGCCAUCAAAGCCUCUUGUACAUUCUAAUUUUUCUCUCUCUCUUUCUCUUUAAUUGUCUUUAACCUUGUAAACAAAGCCUAAAUUUAAAAAUAAUUAAAAUUUUGGAGAUUACAGCACCUAUAACUUAUCAUGACCAGGUCUUCUCCUUUAAUAAUGUGUAAAUACAUUAUGAUUGAAAUCAACACUAAAUAUGAUCAAAUUAAAUAUUAUGAGGAAUCAUUAAUACAUCUACAGAAUAUUAAUAGACAUCCCUCUGUACACAAAUGAGCAUUGCUUAGUGCCAGCAAUGCUAACACUACUAAAAGCCAUUGCAUUCACUUCCUUUGAAUAAUAAGCAAAACCUGCUAAAGACCUACACUUUAUUUUAAUUAUGUAUUUGCCACGCUUUCAUAAUUAGGAUUUGGGAUCUAAUCAAAGUCCUUUUGUGUUUGUUUGUUUAGGUCUUUUGUAUGAGUGACUACCUAAUAUAUAUCAAAGGUUUAUAAUAAUUUUCACUUCAGAAUUUUAUUAAACAAUAAAAAACCCUCUUAUUAAAAAUAGGAACUACUAAAUAUAUAGCUAGAUUGCCCAGGGACAUAGAGAAAUGGUAACGUCUCUAAGCAUAAUAUUCCCAUGCUCAGUGGUUAAGAAUGACAACAACACGUUCCCUGGCUGCCCCAGAUUAGCCACAUUGGAAAAGAUCUGUAGAGACAUAGACCCCUUUCUUAACACUUGCAUCAGGAUAUUACCCACUGCAAAAGGGCUUUUAAAACCCUUGUUCAAUUCAUACUGAAAUAAUCCACUUUAUCCAUAUUCUUGAGCUCACGUUUUUAUAGCAGCCAUGGUUUCAAUAACACAUCCAGGCUCAAAAAUGGAGAGUCAUCGUAGCAGUCAAUUUAAUGUAAAGAAAAAAUAAAAUGAAAAAUACUAGAAAAAAAAACAAUUUCAAGCUUAAGUCUCUAAACAGUGUGUACUAACUCUAAGAAUAUUACCUAAUCUUUGGAACCACUAUUAAACUUCCCUCUAUGAUGAAGAAGUGAUUGUUUUAAUUACUACUGCAAGUGCAUCUAAUAUACAGUUAGCUAUGUAAAACUGGUUGUUUCUGUCAGACAUGUCCUAACACAGUUCGCUCUUUCCUAUAGAUUAGAUUACUCUUCAGUGUUUGGAUUUAGAAUACUCACAUCUCACCCAUUUGCCGAAGGUGUGUGAAGUGUUGUUCUGUGUAUGCUAACUCUGAGUUAGUUUAUCAAGUGUGUUCAUUCAUUUUGCACAACAUGGGAGUCAUUGAUUAGAGCCAUCUUCUAAUUCACUACUUUUAUAUUUCCUUCACAUUUCACAGCAUUGUCAUCUGACAUUCUUCUUAGGAACUUACUCUACAGAUCUGAAAUGGAGAGCUGGAAGGAAAAGCCAGUUGUUCUAUCGUCUUGCCUACCUCACACCAUUAACAACUUGCCAUUAAUCUGCUUCUCACUGGCUCCAAGCUCCUACCUGCCUCUAAGGGACCCUACACUUUCAAACUGGUCCCACACCUCUGACGUACACAUUGCCCUUUCCUUUACCCCUAAUUCUUUUUGACAUGAAAUUUAUUUAUCUUUCACUCGUGCAGACAACAGACUUUAGGAUUUUCUUCUAUCUCUGUUUUCCUGUGGCCUCUGUCACCUUUCUAGCACUUGGAGUUAAGACUCUGCCAGGUAAACAUUUAGACAGCCUAAUAGAGACCUUCUUAGCUAAAUUUGACAUAACUUUCUGUCCAUUCAGUAUUUUCUCUUGUAUAUUUUGAUGUGCUGAAAUUUAUUAAUACCUUACUUUUUAAUUUUACUUAUUAAAAUAACAUCAUAAAUACAUUUUAAUUUAGUUAAUUGUGGUUCAAUAAGUUAUAUUUUCUCAGGAAUAUCCUGUGAAUGAUAAAUGGAUAGCACACAUGACUGUCUCCUAAUGUUUUAAUUUUUAUAGUGUGCAAAACAUUCAGGAGGAGAAAAGCCCAGCUGUAAAAUCAAGGUUUCCGGACCAGGCUAUUUCUAUUCAUAGCACUGAAAAUGGGACAUGAUACUAGCUAUUGCCGAAAAGCCACUCCAAGGUGAAUAAUUUAUGUGGGAAAAACUUUAAAGGCUUAAUUAUGUAAAUAUUAUUCAAGUACUACAUUUUACAAGAGCACACUUUUAUCUACUCUUUGUGAUUUAGAUUGGCAACAGAAAUUCAAAAGUCUGAUUUAAAAAAGCACUAAGUAAUGAAGUCUUUUAUGUAAAUUCUAUAUCGAAGGUAGAGUUUCAAGCUUAAAGUCAUAGGUUCUCAUGUCUACAUAUUUUAACAUAUAAUUUACAACACAUUGCUUGGAAGAAAUCUGCUUGGAUUUUAGAGAUUUUUUUUCAAGAGUUACAUAUUUAGACACAUUUGCAAUCAUAGUUACUAAUAUUUUUCAAAUAUUAUUUGUGAGUGUGCGCUUUGCAUCUGUAUGUGUAUGUGUGCACAUGUGUGCAUCUGUGUGUACGUGCACCGUGUGUAUGCACAGGCAUGAUUGUGGGGGGAUGGGUGUUCAUUGAAGGACAAUUUCAGGUUUCACCCUUUGCCCUCUUUUUUGAGAUGGUAUGUUUUACUUUCUGCUACUGCAUGUACCCGGCUACCUGGCAUUCCUGGGAUUCUCUUGUCUCCCCUACCAAUUUUUGUGGAGAAGCAUUGAGAUUACAGACAAUCGUGGUCACAUCCAGGUUUUUGAAGUUUAAUGUAUGUUUUUCAGUAGUAACCAUUAUUAUGAUUUUACAUACUAGCCACAUAUUUGUGAUGAUCUGACCAAUGCACACCCUUAACAAAUCCCAAGCAAACGAAGGGCUUUUAUGACAAGAACUUAAAGUCUUUGAAGAAGGAAAUGGAG